CACGUAGGGUGCGAGCGUUGUCCGGAAUUAUUGGGCGUAAAGAGCUCGUAGGCGGUCUGUUGCGUCCGCUGUGAAAACUCGGGGCUUAACCCCGAGCCUGCAGUGGAUACGGGCAGACUAGAGGUAGGUAGGGGAGAAUGGAAUUCCCGGUGUAGCGGUGAAAUGCGCAGAUAUCGGGAGGAACACCGGUGGCGAAGGCGGUUCUCUGGGACGGUACUGACGCUGAGACGCGAAAGCGUGGGGAGCGAACAGG
rnacentral:rRNA from 1 species